GGGGCCGACAAGGUUUUGACAGCAAGAUCGGGUAGGUAAAUAAGCAUGUAGGGCGUUGUGUAUUUGCCCUUUAAAACAAUGCACAAGCCAUAACUGGCGAAACAAAUUACGCACUCGCUGCUUAAUCGCUAAGCGAUAAAAGCUUAAUUCUACACGAAUAAUAGUAGUGUGAACGAGUAUCUCGCGGGGGGGUUGUUUGGUAACGCCCGAAUACGAGGUAUCAAAUUCCGAACUAGUCGGUAAACAGCCUUGAUUUAUCGGUGAAACUAAAAAGGCUAAGCUGUAAUUAGGCUGCUUUUGGCCGGGUUGCAGUCGAAAAUCAAUUAAAAGAUAAGCAUGUAGAAAGUUUAUUUGCUCCUUGUUUGGACGUGGGUUCGAAUCCCACCGGUUCCACAG
rnacentral:tmRNA from 1 species